rnacentral:rRNA from 1 species
CUGGCGGGAUGAGUAUUCCAAGGCGCUUGAGAGAACUCAGGAGAAGGAACUCGGCAAAUUAGUACCGUAACUUCGGGAUAAGGUACGCCCCUAGUAGGUGAAAGUGUACAACUGGAGCCGAAUGGGGUCGCAGUGAAAAGGUGGCUGCGACUGUUUAACAAAAACACAGCACUCUGCAAACACGUCAAGUGGACGUAUAGGGUGUGACGCCUGCCCGGUGCCGUAAGGUUAAGUGAUGGGGUGCAAGCUCUUGAUCGAAGCCCCGGUAAACGGCGGCCGUAACAAUAACGGUCCUAAGGUAGCGAAAUUCCUUGUCGGGUAAGUUCCGACCUGCACGAAUGGCGUAACGAUGGCCACACUGUCUCCUCCUGAGACUCAGCGAAGUUGAAGUGUUUGUGAUGAUGCAAUCUCCCCGCUGCAAGACGGAAAGACCCCGUGCACCUUUACUGCAACUUUGCAUUGGACUUUGAUGAGAUUUGUGUAGGAUAGCUGGGAGACUUUGAAGUGGGGGCGCUAGCUCUCAUGGAGUCGACGUUGAAAUACCAGCCUGAUGUUAUUGAGGUUCUAACCUGGAUCCGUAAUCCGGAUCGGGGACCGUGCAUGGUGGGCAGUUUGACUGGGGCGGUCUCCUCCCAAAGAGUAACGGAGGAGUGCGACGGUACGCUUAGCGCGGUCGGCUAUCGCGCUGUAUGUGCAAUGGCAAAAGCGUGCUUAACUGCGAGACGGACAUGUCGAGCAGGUGCGAAAGCAGGUCAUAGUGAUCCGGUGGUUCUGUAUGGAAGGGCCAUCGCUCAACGGAUAAAAGGUACGCCGGGGAUAACAGGCUGAUUCCUCCCAAGAGUUCAUAUCGACGGGGGAGUUUGGCACCUCGAUGUCGGCUCAUCACAUCCUGGGGCUGUAGCCGGUCCCAAGGGUAUGGCUGUUCGCCAUUUAAAGUGGUACGUGAGCUGGGUUCAAAACGUCGUGAGACAGUUUGGUCCCUAUCUGCAGUGGGCGUUGGAAGUUUGAGGGGGGCUGCUCCUAGUACGAGAGGACCGGAGUGGACGCAUCUCUGGUGUACCGGUUGUCACGCCAGUGGCAUCGCCGGGUAGCUAAAUGCGGAAAAGAUAAGCGCUGAAAGCAUCUAAGCGCGAAACUUGCCUCAAGAUGAGACUUCCCGGGAACUUGAUUCCCCUAAAGGGUCGCGGAAGACCACCGCGUUGAUAGGUCGGGUGUGUAAGAGCAGUAAUGCUUUGAGCUAACCGAUACUAAUUGCCCGUGAGGCUUGAUCCG